AGAUUGAACGCUGGCGGCGUGCCUAACACAUGCAAGUCGAGCGGUAACAGGUGUAGCAAUACAUGCUGACGAGCGGCGAACGGGUGAGUAAUGCUUUGGAAUCUUCCCAGUAGUGGGGAAUAACCAGUCGAAAGAUUGGCUAAUACCGCAUACGUCUGUAAAGGGAAAGCGGGGGCUCGUAAGACCUCGCGCUAUUGGAUGAGCCAAAGUCGGAUUAGCUAGUUGGUGGGGUAAUGGCCUACCAAGGCGACAAUCCGUAGCUGGUCUGAGAGGACGACCAGCCACACCGGAACUGAGACACGGUCCGGACUCCUACGGGAGGCAGCAGUGGGGAAUAUUGGACAAUGGGGGAAACCCUGAUCCAGCGACGCCGCGUGUGUGAAGAAGGCCUGCGGGUUGUAAAGCACUUUUAGUGGGGACAAAAGCUACGGAUUAAUACUCUGUGGUCUUGAUUUAACCCAAAGAAAAGCACCGGCUAACUCUGCGCCAGCAGCCGCGGU
rnacentral:rRNA from 1 species